rnacentral:rRNA from 1 species
UAGGGAAUCUUCGGCAAUGGGGGGAACCCUGACCGAGCAACGCCGCGUGAGUGAAGAAGGUUUUCGGAUCGUAAAGCUCUGUUGUUAAGGAAGAACGAGUGUGAGAAUGGAAAGUUUAUACUGUGACGGUACUUAACCAGAAAGGGACGGCUAACUACGUGCUAGCAGCCGCGGUAAUACGUAGGUCCCGAGCGUUGUCCGGAUUUAUUGGGCGUAAAGCGAGCGCAGGCGGUUAGAUAAGUCUGAAGUUAAAGGCAGUGGCUCAACCAUUGUAGGCUUUGGAAACUGGUUAACUUGAGUGCAGAAGGGGAGGGUGGAAUUCCAAGUGUAGCGGUGAAAUGCGUAGAUAUAUGGAGGAACACCGGUGGCGAAAGCGGCUCACUGGUCUGUAACUGACACUGAGGCUCGAAAGCGUGGGGAGCGAACAGG